AGACAUUCAAAAUACAAAGAAAGAAAGAAAUAUUCUCUGGGGUAUUGUAAACUGGUUUUUUGGUCCUUCCCAAAGGCGAAUUCAUCAGGUGCAGAAAGACCAUACUAACAGGGGAGACUCCGAUUCGGACAAAUCCGAUUCAGAUUAAAACUUUCGUUCUUUUUUUAUUAAUAUAUUAGUACCUAAGUGUUUUAGUAUAAGUACCUACCGUUCGCUCACCCAAAUGUCGAAUUAGUAACAUUGUCAAUUUCAUUUUGUAUUAACUAAACUAUAGCACCAAAACUAAAGUUUUGUAGGUGUCUGAAUGAAUCAAAUAAAAUUAUUUAGAGUUGACAAUAA
rnacentral:lncRNA from 1 species